rnacentral:rRNA from 1 species
AACGCGAAGAACCUUACCAGCUUUUGACAUGUCCGGUAUGAUUUCCAGAGAUGGAUCUCUUCAGUUCGGCUGGCCGGAACACAGGUGCUGCAUGGCUGUCGUCAGCUCGUGUCGUGAGAUGUUGGGUUAAGUCCCGCAACGAGCGCAACCCUCGCCCUUAGUUGCCAUCAUUUAGUUGGGCACUCUAGGGGGACUGCCGGUGAUAAGCCGCGAGGAAGGUGGGGAUGACGUCAAGUCCUCAUGGCCCUUACAGGCUGGGCUACACACGUGCUACAAUGGCGGUGACAAUGGGAUGCAAAAGGGCAACCUCUCGCAAAAUCUCAAAAAGCCGUCUCAGUUCGGAUUGUACUCUGCAACUCGAGUGCAUGAAGGUGGAAUCGCUAGUAAUCGUAGAUCAGCAUGCUACGGUGAAUACGUUCCCGGGCCUUGUACACACCGAGACGUA